UCAAUUUGAGCACCCACCAACAAUUCUGAGAUGAAGAUUCCCUCUCCUCCGUUUAUUGCUCCUCCCCUUCUAGCUAGCCUCCACCACCAAAUGCCAUCGCGCGCGGCAACCACACGAGGCCCUGAUUCCAAUGAGAAUGGAACCACCGACCACCUUUGCAAGGUUGCUAUCCCGCCGGUGCCAAGGAAGCGUGUCAUUGCCCAUGUCAAGGAAGCGGCUUGGGACUAAGACUGAUGUGUGAUCCACCAUGCUGUCCAUGAAGGCUGGCGGCAAGUUCGUGUUAUCCACAAAGAUGAUCGUCCGCUUUCUGGUUGUUUCGAUCAAUGACAAGCGGAUGAGGAAGCCAACACCAACAAGGUUCUCGACGAGGCAUUAGUGAAGAUGGUGAAGAAGCCACCCAUGCUAACGCCUUCUCCACAACGUGGGACUUCCACGUCUUCCCCUCCAUCUCCGGCUAGCCUCUUUCCUCCUUCACUGCCUUACUUGCACCAGAAUCAGGGCCAGUCUUGGGGCUUUGGGUGCUCAGGGCGAAACUAAAAUCGAAGAUCCUUAAUAUACUUAGGAGAUAUGCCCAAAAAAAAACCGUUCAAGUCCAUUCAAAAGCAAAUAAUAAAUAAUGUAUACACAUAUGAGCUUAAAAAAAUCGACCAUUUUAAGAUGCAUCGUUAUAAAUCCCAUCCAAUAAUUUCUUUUCAAUGCAUAAAAUUGCAGAGUCAGUACUUGUAAGAUGAGAUAACAGUGCCAAAAUUUAUGGUAACGGAAAGUAAUUUAAACUAGUGAAAAUCACUGGAACAUAUGAAUUCUAUAAAUCACUAAUGAAUUACAUAUGUACGAAGCCCAAAAGAACUCACAAAAUUCUUCUCUGCUGUAUUCGUGACAUGGGCUCAUGGAGAGUGAUUGUCGAUUGCCACCGGGCAUCUCUGCGGCAUGUUGGCUCAUGUUCGCCUGUUCCUGGCGGCCGAUGCGAUGUAGGCGCUGCGAAGAGUCGAUGGUUACGCGGGCGGGGUGCCACAAGGCAAUCAAGCAAUAUUAGGCAAAACAAAGGUCACCAAACCGUCGCGCGCCGUAUGCCAGCACCUGCGAUUCAUCCGUCUCAACAUUGCGCUUUUGUGAUUGGUGUGUGCCGGUCUCGAUUCCUAGAAUCAUGGUCCGGGGAAAGCAGCGAUUUUGGAUCCCUUUGGACCGAGGGCGAGGCGGGUUCCCUAGGGUUCCCCCUCCUCCCGGCGGCGGC
rnacentral:lncRNA from 1 species